UACGUAGGGCGCAAGCGUUGUCCGGAAUUAUUGGGCGUAAAGAGCUCGUAGGCGGUUUGUCGCGUCUGCUGUGAAAACUCGAGGCUCAACCUCGGGCUUGCAGUGGAUACGGGCAGACUAGAGUGCGGUAGGGGUGACUGGAAUUCCUGGUGUAGCGGUGGAAUGCGCAGAUAUCAGGAGGAACACCGAUGGCGAAGGCAGGUCACUGGGCCGCAACUGACGCUGAGGAGCGAAAGCAUGGGGAGCGAACAGG
rnacentral:rRNA from 1 species